rnacentral:rRNA from 1 species
UACGAGGGGGCAAGCGUUGUUCGGAAUUAUUGGGCGUAAAGGGCGCGUAGGCGGUUUGACAAGUCUGAUGUGAAAUCUCUGGGCUCAACCCAGAGUCUGCAUUAGAAACUGUCGGGCUUGAGUAUGGGAGAGGUGAGUGGAAUUUCGGUGUAGCGGUGAAAUGCGUAGAUAUCAGGAGGAACACCAGUGGCGAAGGCGGCUUCCUGGACACCAACUGACGCUGAGACGGCGAAAAGCGUGGGGGAGCAAACAGG